rnacentral:rRNA from 1 species
AGCGGCGGACGGGUGAGUAAUGCCUAGGAAAUUGCCCUGAUGUGGGGGAUAACCAUUGGAAACGAUGGCUAAUACCGCAUGAUGCCUACGGGCCAAAGAGGGGGACCUUCGGGCCUCUCGCGUCAGGAUAUGCCUAGGUGGGAUUAGCUAGUUGGUGAGGUAAGGGCUCACCAAGGCGACGAUCCCUAGCUGGUCUGAGAGGAUGAUCAGCCACACUGGAACUGAGACACGGUCCAGACUCCUACGGGAGGCAGCAGUGGGGAAUAUUGCACAAUGGGCGCAAGCCUGAUGCAGCCAUGCCGCGUGUAUGAAGAAGGCCUUCGGGUUGUAAAGUACUUUCAGUCGUGAGGAAGGCGGUGUCGUUAAUAGCGGCAUCGUUUGACGUUAGCGACAGAAGAAGCACCGGCUAACUCCGUGCCAGCAGCCGCGGUAAUACGGAGGGUGCGAGCGUUAAUCGGAAUUACUGGGCGUAAAGCGCAUGCAGGUGGUUUGUUAAGUCAGAGUGUGAAAGCCCGGGGCUCAACCUCGGAAUAGCAUUUGAAACUGGCAGACUAGAGUACUGUAGAGGGGGGUAGAAUUUCAGGUGUAGCGGUGAAAUGCGUAGAGAUCUGAAGGAAUACCGGUGGCGA